rnacentral:rRNA from 1 species
UACGGGGGGGGUAAGCGUUGUUCGGAAUUACUGGGCGUAAAGGGCUCGUAGGCGGCCAACUAAGUCAGACGUGAAAUCCCUCAGCUUAACUGGGGAACUGCGUCUGAUACUGGAUGGCUUGGAUCCGGGAGAGGGAUGCGGAAUUCCAGGUGUAGCGGUGAAAUGCGUAGAUAUCUGGAGGAACACCGGUGGCGAAGGCGGCAUCCUGGACCGGCAUUGACGCUGAGGCGCGAAAGCUAGGGGAGCAAACGGGG